ACGCGGUGGCGUGCUAACACAUGCAAGUCGAGCGGUAACAGGUGUAGCAAUACAUGCUGACGAGCGGCGAACGGGUGAGUAAUGCUUCGGAAUCUGCCCAAUGGUGGGGAAUAACCAGCCGAAAGGUUGGCUAAUACCGCAUAAGUCCUACGGGAGAAAGCGGGGGAUCGUAAGACCUCGCGCCGAUGGAUGAGCCGAAGCCGGAUUAGCUAGUUGGUAGGGUAACGGCCUACCAAGGCGACGAUCCGUAGCUGGUCUGAGAGGACGACCAGUCACACUGGGACUGAGACACGGCCCAGACUCCUACGGGAGGCAGCAGUGGGGAAUAUUGGACAAUGGGGGAAACCCUGAUCCAGCGACGCCGCGUGUGUGAGGAAGGCCUGCGGGUUGUAAAGCACUUUUAGUGGGGAUGAAAAGCUCAGGGCUAAUACCUCUGGGUCUUGANCUAACCCAAAGAAAAAGCACCGGCUAACUCUGUGCCAGCAGCCGCGGUAAUACAGAGGGUGCAAGCGUUAAUCGGAAUUACUGGGCGUUAAGCGUGCGUAGACGGUUAUGUAAGUCGGGUGUGAAAGCCCCGGG
rnacentral:rRNA from 1 species